rnacentral:tRNA from 1 species
AGGGGUGUGGCUUCAUGCUAGAGCAUCUGCUUGCCAAGUAGAAGGUCCCAUGUUCAAUCCCUAGCAUCUCAU